AUUUAGCUUUAAUUACUUCCUUACAGGCUCUAUUUGCAAAUCCAGUCACACUGGGAGUUGGGGUUUCAGCAUAUGGCUCUCGAGGGACACCGACCCCUGGUUCACAGUAGCCCUGGACCUCAGGUGCUCUGGCGAUGAGGGUGGAGUGUUUCCUGUGAAGGAAGACACAGUAGAAGCAGACACUGUCCAGAAUCCGAGGACGAGUCGGGUUGUGAGCUGAGGCAUACCACAGACCGGAUGGACGAGACUUGAAUCAAAUUCAGUGGCUAGGCUCAAUGUUGACCUUGCAGGGAAAUCUAACUUGCUUCUUGUCAAGUUCGGUUUGCGACCGAAUCGUGGAGGGAAUUGGGCACCUAAACUGAGGCGCUACUGCGUGCGAAUAUAGGGGUGCUGCAGGAACUGGGGAUCCACUUUCAAACACACAGUGAGCAAAGGUUUCCAGGCCUUUAAGGAGAGGAGGCCAGAAGACAAGGUGCAUGGAAUGCCAGACUCCCCCAAGCACCACACAUAGUCCUUUCUGGCCCUUGGAGAGUCCAUUCUCAAGACUGCAGACCAGACUCAGGAUAAAGAGGCUUAGCUGGGUCCACACUGUCCCUUUACCAGGGCAGAGGCUAAGAGGCACAGCCACCGCAGAUUUCAGGAAUGCAAACAAUCAGAAAUGA
rnacentral:lncRNA from 1 species